rnacentral:rRNA from 1 species
UACGUAGGAGGCAAGCGUUGUCCGGAAUUACUGGGCGUAAAGCGCGUGUAGGUGGUGGGACAAGUCUGCUGUGAAAGCGCCUGGCUUAACCGGGCGAGGUCGGCGGAAACUGUUCGACUCGAGGACGGUAGAGGGGGGUGGAAUUCCCGGUGUAGUGGUGAAAUGCGUAGAGAUCGGGAGGAACACCAGUGGCGAAGGCGGCCUUCUGGACCAAUACUGACGCUCAUGCACGAAAGCGUGGGGAGCAAACAGG